rnacentral:ncRNA from 2 species
UUUAGGAUGCUUGCAGCUGGUGGCCGUACGCUUUCUAAUGUUGAAAUGUGCGGCUUAAAAGGGAAUUUGGUGUAAAUCCAGAACUGACGCGCAGCGGUGAAAAGAACGAAACUUUCCAGUACCUUUUAUUUUGGUACUUUGACACUACCUCAAAGGGAUGGGGUGGGAAGUCGAAAGGAGUAGGUAACGAAACAACAUUCUGUUUUGUUGAGCUUUAAGUCCGAAAACCUGCCAGUGAUUCAGAGCAAUG